CUGAGAAGGCAAAGAAUAACAACUUGGUUUAGGUUGAAGUUCAAGUGAAAUAGUUUGAUACCUUGUAUUGAGUUUCUCGAAUUUUCUGGCAUAUAUAAUAACUAUCAACGUAACUCACAAUACGAUGAAAAAUGUUCAAUCCAGAUCAAGCUACUGAAAUAUCAGCACAGGAAAAUAUAUAUCCCAUAAGAGCUACCAAUAAUGAUGUAUUUGUGCUUACCAUUUGUUGGGGCGUUACUUUAAUGCCUGUUCGCGUUGGGGUCGAGGAUACUAUACGGUUUGUUCCAGAAAUUUGUGAUGUUGAAGACGUG